AUUGAACGCUGGCGGCAUGCUUUACACAUGCAAGUCGAACGGCAGCGCGGGCUUCGGCCUGGCGGCGAGUGGCGAACGGGUGAGUAAUGCAUCGGAACGUGCCCAGUAGUGGGGGAUAGCCCGGCGAAAGCCGGAUUAAUACCGCAUACGACCUGAGGGUGAAAGCGGGGGACCGAAAGGCCUCGCGCUAUUGGAGCGGCCGAUGUCGGAUUAGCUAGUUGGUGGGGUAAAGGCUUACCAAGGCGACGAUCCGUAGCUGGUCUGAGAGGACGACCAGCCACACUGGGACUGAGACACGGCCCAGACUCCUACGGGAGGCAGCAGUGGGGAAUUUUGGACAAUGGGGGCAACCCUGAUCCAGCCAUGCCGCGUGCGGGAAGAAGGCCUUCGGGUUGUAAACCGCUUUUGUUCGGGAAGAAAUCCUCUGGGCUAAUACCCCGGGGGGAUGACGGUACUGGAAGAAUAAGCACCGGCUAACUACGUG
rnacentral:rRNA from 1 species